rnacentral:lncRNA from 1 species
CCCUACAAUGCCAUGUAUUAUAAAGCAGCAGUGAUGAAAUUCGUGUGGUGCUGGAGCCAAAAUCAGCAGGAAACAAGCACUCUCGACUUCUCUGCUCAAGAAAGAGAAAAAGGAAAAAUGUGCUACCUAAGUCACUGCUUGGCCAUGGAACGCAAGCUAUAAGGUUAUUAGUAUCCUGUACAGCAAGAGGAGAUCGCAUGUGUAUCCCCUGAAAGAUACAUGAAGAAUACAAACUACCAUUCAUUCAUUUACUUCUUUCAUGGAACUGCAGGGUGAUACUUCAUUAAUAUUCAUUCUCUUCUACUACAGGGAAUGCUAGUCUGUCUUUCCCUCUAGAAAUGUAAACUCUAGGAGGGCAGCAAUGAUGAUACCAAUGAUCAUUAGUCUGUUUUUUCAAUUCUAUAUCCCCAUCUUACAGAGCAGUGUCGGGCACCCCACAGACAUUCAAUAAAUAUUUUGAAUGAAUGGAGUUCA